GCAUGUCUAAGUACACAGUUUUGUAAACUGAAACCGCGGAUGGCUCAUUAUAACAGCUAUGAUUUGAGAGAUAUAAUCUAUUUGCCAUAAGAUAACUGUGGUAAUUCUAGAGCUAAUAUUUUAAAGAAUGCCGUGACUCACGAAGCGGUGGAUUUAUUAGAUCAAAACUAACCUGUCGCAAGACAGAAUUUUGAUGACUCUGGAUAACUUAACUGAUCGUACAACUUUUGUUGACGACGAAUCUCUUGAAAUGGCUGACCUAUCAACUUUCGAUGGUAAGAUCAAAGCUUACCAUGGUUGUAACGGGUAACGGGGAAUCAGUGUUCGAUUCCGGAGAGGGAGCCUGAGAAACGGCUACCACAUCCACGGAAGGCAGCAGGCGCGAAAAUUACCCAAUACCGGUUCGGUGAGGUAGUGACAAUAAAUAACAAUAUGGGCCCUAGUGGUUUCAUAAUUGCAAUGAGAAUAUUUUAAAUACUUUAUCAAGUAUCAAUUGGAGGGCAAGUCUGGUGCCAGCAGCCGCGGUAAUUCCAGCUCCAAAAGCGUAUAUUAAAUUUGUUGCAGUUAAAAAGCUCGUAGUUGGAAUUGAGGAACAAUUCUUAAUCGGUCGUAAGAUUGAAUUUUGAAUUUUCCUUCCCGUCGUGUAUAUUGAUUAAUCACUUAAUUGGGAUUUUUUGGUGACCGACAAGUUUACUUUGAAAAAAUUAGAGUGCUUAACGCAGGCUUUUGCUUGUAUAUUGUUGCAUGGAAUAAUGAAAUAAGACUUCGGUUUUAUUUUGUUGGUUUUCGAAACUGAAGUAAUGAUUAAAAGAGACUGCCGGGGGCAUAUGUAUGCUGGUGCUACAGGUGAAAUUCUUA
rnacentral:rRNA from 1 species